CGACGUCUUAGCCGGCGCCGACGUGACGACCUUCUCGGACAAGGACUAUCAGGGUGCUACACGAUCUGGACGCCGUUCAAGCGGCGGCGCCAU
rnacentral:tRNA from 1 species